rnacentral:rRNA from 1 species
UUGGAGGGCAAGUCUGGUGCCAGCAGCCGCGGUAAUUCCAGCUCCAAUAGCGUAUAUUAAAGUUGUUGCAGUUAAAAAGCUCGUAGUUGAAUUUCGGGAUCAGAUUGUCGGUCGUGCCUCGGUACGCACUGGUAUUAUUGGUUCCUACCUUCUGAAGAACCGCGAUGUCAUUAAUUUGGUGUCGUGGGGAGUCAGGACUGUUACUUUGAAAAAAUUAGAGUGUUUAAAGCAGGCUUACGCUUGAAUACAUUAGCAUGGAAUAAUGAAAUAGGACGUUUGAUUCUAUUUUGUUGGUUUCUAGGAUUGACGUAAUGAUUAAUAGGGAUAGUUGGGGGCAUUAGUAUUCAAUUGUCAGAGGUGAAAUUCUUGGAUUUAUUGAAGACUAACUACUGCGAAAGCAUUUGCCAAGGAUGUUUUCAUUAAUCAAGAACGAAAGUUAGGGGAUCGAAGACGAUCAGAUACCGUCGUAGUCUUAACCAUAAACUAUGCCGACUAGGGAUCGGAUGAUGUUAAUUUUUUAAUGACUCAUUCGGCGCCUUACGGGAAACCAAAGUGUUUGGGUUC